AACGAACGCUGGCGGCGUGGCUAAGGCAUGCAAGUCGAACGGACCUACCCAACGGGUAACUGAAGGGUAGGUCAGUGGCGAACGGGUGAGGAAUUCAUGGAUAACGUGCCCCGGACUCAGGGAUAGCGUUGUGAAAACGACGGUAAUACCUGAUGACCCCGUGGGACCGCAUGGUCCCGCGGGCAAAGCUCCGACGGUCCGGGAGCGAUUCAUGUCCUAUCAGCUAGUUGGUGAGGUAACGGCUCACCAAGGCGGCGACGGGUAUCGGGCGUGAGAGCGUGACCCGACACAUCGGAACUGAGAUACGGUCCGGACACCUACGGGUGGGCUGCAGCAACGAAUAUUCCGCAAUGGACGAAAGUCUGACGGAGCGACGCCGCGUGCAGGAAGAAGU
rnacentral:rRNA from 1 species